CCCCCGGUCGCAAAAGCACCGAAAGUGCAUCAGCGAAUUAUAAAAUAUUUUUAGCCCGGUGUUGACAAACGCAGCGAAUCCCAGUACCGCCCCUGUGUGUUAGAGGCUGCAGCUGUCAGACACCCCCUCCCCCCUCCAGGAGACAGCAUGGACUGGAGCCUGAGGACCGGAGAGGUACUGGGGCAGCAGGACACAGGCCUGACUGUCGGCACCAUCCUGGCCCUGCUGCUUCUCGCUGUUGCCAUGGCAGCCAUUGUAUACACGCCACCAGGAGCAUGCAGGAGGCGGGGCAGCGGGGGUGAGGAACUUUCCCUAACAGCCAAUAGGAUCACAUAAGAGAGGACACACCCGGGGGAGAUUAAGAACUUUAUUACCCACAGUUCUUCUGAGGCACUGCCCUCUGACUUAAAAGCAUUGGUAAUGGUUUCCACCAGAGUCCUAAUAUUCAAAUAAUUUCAUGUCAUAGUUAUAUAUCACAUAAGAAAUUCUGUGCCAACUUUAUAAAUGGAAGUAAUGGAUGUCAUAGAAAGCUUCAUUGAGCUUUGUUUUUCUAUUAAGUUUUUAUAAAGAAAGAUUUCUAUAAAGUCUGUAAAGCACUACAUUUUUAUAUGACAUAACUGCAAAGAAAAUGUCUGUAUUGUAUUAAACCAUUUUUAAAUAAUG